AGAUGGGAGCUUGCUCCCUGAUCUUAGCGGCGGACGGGUGAGUAACACGUGGGCAACCUGCCCUGCAGACUGGGAUAACUCCGGGAAACCGGAGCUAAUACCGGGUAAUACAUCGCACCGCAUGGUGCAAUGUUGAAAGUUGGCUUUCGAGCUAACACUGCAGGAUGGGCCCGCGGCGCAUUAGCUAGUUGGUAAGGUAAUGGCUUACCAAGGCGACGAUGCGUAGCCGACCUGAGAGGGUGAUCGGCCACACUGGGACUGAGACACGGCCCAGACUCCUACGGGAGGCAGCAGUAGGGAAUCUUCCGCAAUGGACGAAAGUCUGACGGAGCAACGCCGCGUGAGUGACGAAGGCCUUCGGGUCGUAAAGCUCUGUUGUUAGGGAAGAACAAGUACCGUUCGAAUAGGGCGGUACCUUGACGGUACCUAACCAGAAAGCCACGGCUAACUACGUGCCAGCAGCCGCGGUAAUACGUAGGUGGCAAGCGUUGUCCGGAAUUAUUGGGCGUAAAGCGCGCGCAGGCGGUCUUUUAAGUCUGAUGUGAAAGCCCACGGCUCAACCGUGGAGGGUCAUUGGAAACUGGAGGACUUGAGUGCAGAAGAGGAGAGUGGAAUUCCACGUGUAGCGGUGAAAUGCGUAGAUAUGUGGAGGAACACCAGUGGCGAAGGCGGCUCUCUGGUCUGUAACUGACGCUGAGGCGCGAAAGCGUGGGGAGCAAACAGGAUUAGAUACCCUGGUAGUCCACGCCGUAAACGAUGAGUGCUAGGUGUUGGGGGGUUCCACCCUCAGUGCUGAAGUUAACACAUUAAGCACUCCGCCUGGGGAGUACGACCGCAAGGUUGAAACUCAAAGGAAUUGACGGGGGCCCGCACAAGCAGUGGAGCAUGUGGUUUAAUUCGAAGCAACGCGAAGAACCUUACCAGGUCUUGACAUCCUCUGACAAUCCUGGAGACAGGACGUUCCCCUUCGGGGGACAGAGUGACAGGUGGUGCAUGGUUGUCGUCAGCUCCUGUCGCAGAG
rnacentral:rRNA from 1 species